rnacentral:sRNA from 13 species
AGCGACAUGAGGCCAUCUGCGCUCAUGUGCUGAAUCCAAUCGUUCGGUGGUUUAGGUUCUGUACCCAUUCCAUGGCGGCGGGAACGGGUAUAAUCGAAAUCGAAAGAAGCGGACCCCGCGCAGGUGGCUAACCAGAUACGCGGGCGAUGCGGAUUUUCAGUUGCAAAGGCCGGGCUGCACUCCCGGCC